AGUGAGGGGCUACUGGCUGAAGGCUACUGGCUGACAGCAUUCGGUAAUUUCUGAGAGAUUUACCUCAGACGAAGCAUAAAGUUUCGAGCCGUUUAUUCCAGCUUCAGGUGCUUCGCUGUUGCGCACGCUGAUUUUCUGAGAUUUACAUCACAUGAAGCCUGUGUUGUUUCGAGCCGUUUGUUCCCGCUUCAGCGGCCUUCAGUCAGCGCGCGGUCACAGCUUCCAGAGAGAUUUAUAUCAGAAGGAAAGGCUCCAAACACUGCAGCUGACUUCUGCUUCACCGGAGACAGCCUUGGAGGAGAAAUGGUGUCUUCAUUUGUUAAUAUAUCAUAAUUUUCAAAGUGCAGCGUAA
ensembl:lncRNA